CUAUGAAUUUGAAUACUCUGGGUAACCUCAUUCUGGGAUGAUAUGAAACCUUGCAGACGACAUGCAUGGAUCAACUCAUGAGACAGUAAAUCACUCAAAAUCUUACUACAAAAGACAACGUCCUUAUUUGCUUUUACAGAAAAAGGGCAUCUGUUGGAGGCUGGAGGAUCUACUGUCAAGAUGACUCACUCUUAUGACUAGCAGGUUGGU